GGUGCGAUGGUGUAGUUGCAGCACGGCUUUUCAUAGCAGGUCAUGGGUUCGAAUCCCUGUCCACCC